GUGGCCGUCUCCAUAAUCCUCCACUGUUCUUCAUCUUCAAAGUAAACGAUCUAAAUCAUCUUAAACAGGAUAAACAAUGGAUGAUCAAGACUCUUCUUGCGAUGAAGACACCGAUGACAACGGCCAUCAUGUCUUUUUGAGUAUGAUUUCUACAGGAUUGUUUAUGGUACAUCAAAUCAUUUCAACAACAUUAUUGUGCCUAUUCGGGUACAAGGCCGCAAAUGGAGCCUCUUCCGGAACGUCAUUUCGUUGUUUUUUGCAGAUGUGAGAUCAGUAUGAUCCUGAUGGGAUUAUGGUUGAUGUUCCGGUGCCACGGUGCAAGUAUGGGUAAUAAGAUCUUUUUAUGGAGAAUGGAGAUUAAAGAUCUGGAUUAAAAAGCUCAGGAUAUUCUUUCCUACCUGAGUAUCAGCUCUUCAUGGAGGAAUAUUAUGUGAUUGUUGCAGCGUGGUAUGAUGUUAGAAUUUUGGGACCUGUUUGGCCCAAUAUCAACCCAAAGCCCAGCGGAAGCUCAAAGAAUAAGGGGUCCAGGAAGAAAGCGCAUGCAAGGCACAUGACCGGGUUGGGGAUGUUGGUACUCAAACAACUCCGAGAAGAGAAGAUCCAGAGCAGGGGUUUGAGGUUUCUACAGAUGUACUUGAGAUCGAGAUCGGGGGAUUCUCUUGUUAGUAGUUGAUGAAUAAAUACCUGAUUUGGAUCACUAAGUAGCUAGCUGUAUAUAUGCAAUCAAAAUCUUAUUUUGCAAACAAAUCACUUGCCUCUUUAUAUUAAUUGGAUUUCACAUGUAAAGUUUGGUGCCUAAAUUAUAAGGGUCAUCCACCGGCAUAAAAAAUAUAUGUAUCACACUGUUUGUAUGAUUUUGCACAUUGUUUUCAA